UACGUAGGCAGCGAGCGUUGUUCGGAGUUACUGGGCGUAAAGAGCGCGCAGGCGGUCGUUCAAGUCGCGUGUGAAAGCCCCCGGCUCAACUGGGGAGGGUCACGCGAUACUGAUCGACUCGAAGGCAGGAGAGGGUAGUGGAAUUCCCGGUGUAGUGGUGAAAUGCGUAGAUAUCGGGAGGAACACCAGUGGCGAAGGCGACUACCUGGCCUGUUCUUGACGCUGAGGUGCGAAAGCGUGGGAGCAACAGGG
rnacentral:rRNA from 1 species